rnacentral:misc_RNA from 1 species
GAGGUUCUCAAAGUUGGGGUGUUGAACAACAAGAUUCCACUGGGAAUAGUUCAUUUUGUAGUUAAAAUUUGUGAUUGUAAUCUUUACCCUCCAGUAAGCUUUAUAAUUGGAUUUAAUAUGCCAAUGAACUCUGAUCGGACACAUAUGUUUAGUACAUCGGACCACAGGACUGUCAUCAUCUUUUCCGGAACUUAGAAGUGUUGAGGCUAAAUAAGGAGAGUCCGGCCUGUCAGAG